CCUACGUGAGGCAUCAGUGAGGAAUAUUGGUCAAUGGGCGCGAGCCUGAACCAGCCAAGUAGCGUGAAGGCUGACUGCCCUACGGGUUGUAAACUUCUUUUAUAAAGGAAUAAAGUGAGACACGUGUGCCUUUUUGUAUGUACUUUAUGAAUAAUGAUCGGCUAACUCCGUGCCAGCAGCCGCGGUAAUACGGAGGAUCCGAGCGUUAUCCGGAUUUAUUGGGUUUAAAGGGAGCGUAGAUGGGUUGUUAAGUCAGUUGUGAAAGUUUGCGGCUCAACCGUAAAAUUGCAAUUGAUACUGGCAGUCUUGAGUACAGUUGAGGUAGGCGGAAUUCGUGGUGUAGCGGUGAAAUGCUUAGAUAUCACGAAGAACCCCGAUUGCGAAGGCAGCUUACUAAACUGUGACUGACAUUGAUGCUCGAAAGUGUGGGUAUCAAACAGGAUUAGAUACCCGUGUAGUC
rnacentral:rRNA from 1 species